rnacentral:rRNA from 1 species
UACGAAGGUGGCAAGCGUUGUUCGGAUUUACUGGGCGUACAGGGAGCGUAGGCGGUUGGAUAAGCCCUCCGUGAAAUCUCCAGGCUUAACCUGGAAAGUGCAGAGGGGACUGUUCAGCUAGAGGAUGGGAGAGGAGCGCGGAAUUCCCGGUGUAGCGGUGAAAUGCGUAGAUAUCCGGAAGAACACCGGUGGCGAAGGCGGCCUGCUGGGCAGUUUGGCUGACACUGAGGCGCGACAGCGUGGGGAGCAAACAGG